ACCUCUCUUUGCAGAAAAGGGAGAAGGGAAAACCAGAGGGACCCUUGCUCUCCCACCCAAGGAAAAUUAGCAGUCAGCUCUUCAACAUCCAGCACUGUGAUUUCUCCUCUGCAUCAACCUUCAGCCACGGUGACUAGCUUCACCAGCAUCUCUUCUCAGUCAUCUUGGCUAGCUUCAUCCUCUUUCCAGUAACAGAGACUGCUUUCCAUCAGUAGCUUCCUUUCAGUAGCAGUAAUAGAGAUUGCAUCUCCUCAGACUGUGACCAACAACUUCACCCUCCUUCCAGCAGCAAGAGUUUCUUCUCAGUCACAAAAGCUUCUGGUUCCAACCAUGAGCAGCAGUUUACUCUUCCAGCAGUAAGAGGCUCUCCCUUCCAGUCAAAGCAGCACAGUAAUACCUACUCCACACCAGCAGCUCCUCACCUUGGUCAGUCUCCACCCCAGCACCAGAUCCUCCAAGAUCAGCCACCGUGGGUAGUUUUGCAACCAGUCACCUCACACAGCAACCGUGAACUCCAACAACACAGUCACCUGCUGCGGCAACAUCUCUUUCUUUGCACCGUGAGAACCACCAUCUCCCACCGUACUAACCUCCACACCAGGAAGCUUCUCUCAACUCCACCGUGAGCUUUAGUCCUGAUAGCAGUCCUUGGAUACAACCAG
rnacentral:lncRNA from 1 species